rnacentral:lncRNA from 1 species
UCCCAGGCUGAAAUGAUCCUCCCACCUCAGCCUUCCAAGUAGCUGGGACUACAGGUGUGUGCCACCAUGCUCGGCUGAUUUUUGUGUGUGUGGUUUUUUUUGUUUUUUGUUUUUUUUUUUUUUGGUAAAAAUGGGAUUUCACAGCUGGUCGCGGUGGCUCACGCCUGUAAUCCCGGCACUUUGGGAGGCCAAGGCAGGCGGAUCACAAAGUCAGGAGAUCGAGGCCAUCCUGGCUAACACGGGGAAACCCCAUUUCUACUAAAAAUACAAAAAAUUAGCCGGGCGUGGUGGCGGGCGCCUGUAGUCCCAGCUACUCGGGAGGCUGAGGCAGGAGAAUGGCAUGAACCUGGGAGGUGGAGCUUGCAUGAGCUGAGAUCAUGCCUUUGCACUCCAGCCUGGGCAAAAAAAAGUGAAACUCAGAAAAAAGAAAGAGAAAAGGACAAAGAAGAGAGAGGAAGGAUGAAAAGAGGAAAGGAGGGAGAGAGGGAGGGAGGGAAGGAAAGGAAAAAGGGACAGAAAAAGGAAAGAUGAAAGGUCAAAAUAGAGACCACUCUUGACAUGUUGAUGGCAGGAGACCAUGAACAAGUGUUAACAACCUUCCCAGGCCACACUUUGAUUCACCAGCUGCCUAGGGGAGCAACUGAGUCAAAGUUGGGCUUAGGAGGGAGGGGUCUGCAGUGUGGUGGGCACUUAAAAUACACAACAGGCCGAUUGUGUCAGGACGUUACUCCAAUGAGAGGAGACAAUUCAGGAGGACAGCUGAGCUCAGUGACUGAAAGCAAGGGACAGAUGCUUGAUGGCCUGGGCUCAGAUCCUACCUAGAAGCUGGGGGACCCUGGGAAAGGGAGAGAGUGACUUAACCCCUCUGUGCUCAGUCCCCUGCUGUGUGAUAUGGAGGUGUUUAUGGGGCCUGCCUGUUAGCAUCAUGUUCUGAAGCUUACCCUAAGCAGAUCCAUAUUAAGCCUGAAGAAAAAUGACUGGCACUUCAUAAGUGCUAUACAAGUGUUCAGAUGUGAAGCCUCUGCAGGAAAAAGACAGACACGUAGCAGUAGUUGCCUCCAGAGAGGAAACUUGGUUGACUACAAGACAUGGAAGGUGGAAGAUCUCUUUCCAGCCUUUAUAUGGGCAGGAUGCCUUAUAGCUCCUCAAGGGAAUCUGCCCUCAUCUCCUCUGACCUUCAUAUGAGCCCUGUGGGAUGGGCAGAGCAGGGCUGUGACCCACAUUUUACAGUUGAAAACUGACAUUUAGAGGGGCUGAUUUUCCAAAGCCACACACUGAGGAGGGAUGGGCUGGAGCUAGGAAUGAAGUUGGUUCCCUGGAGCUGAAGAUCCAUCAAGCAGAAGCCCUCUGGGUCUCGCCUUGGGCACCUGAACCAGGGCUUCCCUCACUCCAUUUCCCAAAUCUUGUUCCAGGAUUGCUUUGGGAAGAGCUACUGUCCUGUGGAAGGUGCCUGACCCAGCCUUCUGCCUCUGCAUUUUAAUCCCUGACCCAAAAUAUGAUGCAGCCGAUCCCAAACAGAGGCCCCUUG